rnacentral:lncRNA from 1 species
AGCAAGUAAGUGGAGUAAGAUAAGCAAGGACUCUGAAAAGUUCUCAGAGAGGCAUCCUUGGGAAACUGGAGUGAUGUUCACUGAAUGGAAUGCCUGUCACUACGAGAGGUGCUAAUGUAUGGGGAGUCCUGUCUUCCCUUUGGCUUGAGAGGGGUUCUGAAUGAUGCCUCCAGGGACGUGCAGAAUAUGAGGAAGAUUAGCACUGAGCUAACUACUGCCAAUCCUCCUCUUUUUGCUGAGGAAGACAGGCCCUAAGCUAACAUCCAUUCCCAUCUUCCUCCACUUUAUACGUGGGAUGCCUACCACAGCAUAGCUUUUUGCCAAGUGGUGCCAUGUCCACACCCGGGAUCCGAACCUGAGCACCCUGGGCCGCAGAGAAGUGGAACAUGCGUAACUGCUGCACCACUGGGCCGGCCCCCGAAGAUGCGUUUUGAACCCAUUUAUCCCAUUUUUCCUCCCUAAAAAAGGGAUAUUUGAAAAGAUGCCCAGGAAGUUGAUUUGCCUUCAGGAAGAUUCUGUGUGCUCUGCUCCACACUGUAAUAAUAAAUCCUUAUGUCAAGACACUUUCUCUUUGCAUUUUGCCCUAAAAGAUAUCUGAUGAAUUAGAUAUAAUGAUUCGCUUAUUUUAGUUCAGGAAACAGAAGAUGAAUAGUGAAUUUUUUUAAGGUUAUAGCUAAUAAGUGGUAGGGCUAGGACAUAAAUUCCCAUUUCCUAUUUCAUAGCACUCUUGAUUCUGAAAGUCUUUCUAUAGUUUUAAAUGUAAAAUUUGCUAGAAAGAAGUAAAUACUUGCUUGACCAAAACUUUUUUCAAGAUUUACCUCCCAUUGCUUUGCCU